rnacentral:lncRNA from 1 species
UAUAUGUACAUACACCCCGUGAAUUGAAAAUAUGAGCUACGUGCGGAUUUGAAAAGAGUCUGAUGUUAGGAAGUUAAUUAAGGCUACAAAGAUGAAAGAGAAAAGAAUUCGGAAGGCAUUUAGAGAGGUCUGUCUCAAGGAAAAAAUAAAGUUACAAGCAAGGAGCUAGAAUUGAAGUCAAAUGGUGGAAGAGGUAU